UACGAAGGGUGCAAGCGUUACUCGGAAUUACUGGGCGUAAAGCGUGCGUAGGUGGUGAGUUAAGUCUGUCGUGAAAGCCCCGGGCUCAACCUGGGAAUGGCGAUGGAUACUGGCUCGCUAGAGUGCGGUAGAGGAGAGUGGAAUUCCCGGUGUAGCAGUGAAAUGCGUAGAGAUGUGGAGGAAUACCGAUGGCGAAGGCAGCCCCCUGGGAUGAUACUGACGCUCAUGCACGAAAGCGUGGGGAGCAAACAGG
rnacentral:rRNA from 1 species